GCUCCUGUAGCCCAAUUGGAAGUAGGCCGCUAUCUCAAAAAUAGCGUUUUGUGCGAGUUCGAGUCUCGCCGGGAGCA
rnacentral:tRNA from 1 species